AAGCCUUGGUUGGUAGAGACAUCUGAGAGUGCUGGAGAGUGCCAACGAGUCUAUGGAA
rnacentral:snoRNA from 1 species